rnacentral:rRNA from 1 species
UUUCUCAUUUUAAGCCAUGCGAGUCAUUGUAGCAAUACAAGGCAGACGGCUCAGUAACGCGUAGUCAAUCUACCCUAUGGACGGGAAUAACCUCGGGAAACUGAGAAUAAUGCCCGAUAGAACAUUAUGCCUGGAAUGGUUUAUGUUUCAAAAGAUUUAUCGCCAUAGGAUGGGACUGCGGCCUAUCAGUUUGUUGGUGAGGUAAUGGCCCACCAAGACUAUUACAGGUACGGGCUCUGAGAGGAGUGGCCCGGAGAUGGGUACUGAGACACGGACCCAGGCCCUAUGGGGCGCAGCAGGCGAGAAAACUUUGCAAUGUGCGAAAGCACGACAAGGUUAAUCCGAGUGGUUUCUGCUAAAGAAACCUUUUACCAGUCCUAGAAACACUGGUGAAUAAGGGGUGGGCAAGUUCUGGUGUCAGCCGCCGCGGUAAAACCAGCACCUCAAGUGGUCAGGAUGAUUAUUGGGCCUAAAGCAUCCGUAGCUCGUUUUGUAAGUUUUCGGUUAAAUCCAUGCGCUUAACGUAUGGGCUGCCGGGAAUACUGCAUAACUAGGAAGUGGGAGAGGUAGACGGUACUCGGUAGGAAGGGGUAAAAUCCUUUGAUCUAUUGAUGACCACCUGUGGCGAAGGCGGUCUACCAGAACACGUUCGACGGUGAGGGAUGAAAGCUGGGGGAGCAAACCGGAUUAGAUACCCGGGUAGUCCCAGCUGUAAACUAUGCAAACUCAGUGAUGCAUUGGCUUGUGGCCAAUGCAGUGCUGCAGGGAAGCCGUUAAGUUUGCCGCCUGGGAAGUACGUACGCAAGUAUGAAACUUAAAGGAAUUGGCGGGGGAGCACCACAAGGGGUGAAGCCUGCGGUUCAAUUGGAGUCAACGCCAGAAAUCUUACCCGGAGAGACAGCAGAAUGAAGGUCAAGCUGARGACUUUACCAGACAAGCUGAGAGGAGGUGCAUGGCC